rnacentral:rRNA from 1 species
GACAGAAGGUGCAAGCGUUACUCGGAAUUACUGGGCGUAAAGCGUCUGUAGGUUUUUGACCACGUCUGAUGUGAAAUCUCGGGGCUCAACCCCGUACCACAGUGGAAACGAGUCGGAUAGAGUCAUUCAGAGGCACCUGGAAUGUCGUGUGUAGGGGUAAAAGUACCGUAGAUACACGAUGGAACGCCAAAAGUGAAGACAGGGUGCUAGGAAUGUACUGACACUCAGAGACGAAAGCGUGGGGAGCAAAGGGGAUUAGAUA